rnacentral:rRNA from 1 species
AUGGCCUCCCUCACCAUGCUCGUCUCUUGGACUAUUUGGAACGAGAGAAAUGCGCGGGUGUUUCGCAACAAGAGUGUGCCGCCGCCUAUCCUGCUCCAAAAUAUCGUGCUCGAGGCAAAACUAUGGGUUACGGCAGGUGCUAAGUGUCGGGGAAAGUUGAUCCACGAACACCUAUGGGGAUCGGCGGACCGAGCCCCUUUUGAUUCGGUGAGGGCGGAGGUCGAGCAAAGAGCGGAUCGAGGCGGUACAUGCGAGCAGUUUUACCCAGCUUCGGGCCGCACGGAUGCGUAA